GGGAAAACAGUAACAAGGGCUGGGACAAUUUUGAGAAAUGCAUUAUGAGAGAACAGUAAUAAAAGAUAUUCUUUGACUGCGUGAUUUGAUUAGCUACUUAAAAAGAGAUUCAAGAAGGCAUAAAUUUGCAGACCUUUAUAUGAUACUGCAGUAGUAGCAACAAACAAAAACUAAAGAUGAAUAAUACACUAAUUUCCUAUCACUUAUAAAUCAAUCUUUGUUCCUGUGCUCUUUGAAAGCAUUAUGACUUUAGUAACUGAAACUCUAACACAAUAAACUAAUUCUCUAGGCUUUUUGAUCAUAGUAACUGGUGGCUGGUUCCUGUGAGUGACCUAAGUGUGUCUGUAGGCCACUAUGGAUAAGAGUUGGCCAUAUACUAAAAUCUAGAGUCUUUCCAUUAACUGGUAUACAGGCAGGCUCAAUUACGAAAGGUGUGGGUGGUUGCCUCAUUUAUCAGGAUGAAUUGUUAUGAAUAUAAAUUUGAAGAGAAAAUCGAAACAUUAAUUGUUUAUUUUGGAGAAAUGUUAAAAUAAAAUAAAACAUUCCCAGAUUCUACUGAUGUUGUAAUUAAAAAGUGUUCGUUAAGUAACACAAAAUCA
rnacentral:lncRNA from 1 species